GUGCCAGCAGCCGCGGUAAGACAGAGGGUGCAAACGUUGUUCGGAAUCACUGGGCGUAAAGCGCGUGUAGGCGGCUUCUCAAGUCGGGUGUGAAAUCCCAGGGCUCAACCCUGGAAGUGCAUUCGAAACUGGGUAGCUAGAGUACUGGAGAGGAAGGUGGAAUGCUUGGUGUAGAGGUGAAAUUCGUAGAUAUCAAGCGGAACACCGGUGGCGAAGGCGGCCUUCUGGACAGAUACUGACGCUGAGACGCGAAAGCGUGGGGAGCAAACAGGAUUAGAAACCCCCGUAGUCC
rnacentral:rRNA from 1 species